ACUAAGCAGGGAGAGACUGGCUUGGU
rnacentral:piRNA from 1 species